UACGUAGGGGGCAAGCGUUGUCCGGAAUCAUUGGGCGUACAGCGCGUGUAGGCGGCCCGGUAAGUCCGCUGUGAAAGUCCAGGGCUCAACCCUGGGAUGCCGGUGGAUACUGUCGGGCUCGAGUCCGGAAGAGGAGUGUGGAAUUCCUGGUGUAGCGGUGAAAUGCGCAGAUAUCAGGAGGAACACCAAUGGCGAAGGCAGCACUCUGGGACGUGACUGACGCUGAGACGCGAAAGCGUGGGGAGCAAACAGG
rnacentral:rRNA from 1 species